rnacentral:rRNA from 1 species
GGUGGGGUAAUGGCCUACCAAGGCGUCGACGGGUAGCCGGCCUGAGAGGGUGGACGGCCACAUUGGGACUGAGACACGGCCCAGGCUCCUACGGGAGGCAGCAGUGGGGAAUAUUGCACAAUGGGCGCAAGCCUGAUGCAGCGACGCCGCGUGGGGGAUGAAGGCCUUCGGGUUGUAAACUCCUUUCAACCAUGACGAAGCUUUAUGUGACGGUAGUGGUAGAAGAAGCACCGGCUAACUACGUGCCAGCAGCCGCGGUAAUACGUAGGGUGCGAGCGUUGUCCGGAAUUACUGGGCGUAAAGAGCUCGUAGGUGGUUUGUCGCGUCGUCUGUGAAAUUCCGGGGCUUAACUCCGGGCGUGCAGGUGAUACGGGCAUAACUUGAGUGCUGUAGGGGAGACUGGAAUUCCUGGUGUAGCGGUGAAAUGCGCAGAUAUCAGGAGGAACACCGAUGGCGAAGGCAGGUCUCUGGGCAGUAACUGACGCUGAGGAGCGAAAGCAUGGGUAGCGAACAGGAUUAGAUACCCUGGUAGUCCAUGCCGUAAACGGUGGGCGCUAGGUGUGGGGGUCUUCCACGACUUCUGUGCCGUAGCUAACGCAUUAAGCGCCC